GACGAGGAGGACAAGCGUUAUUCAGUGUAACUAGGCGUAAAGUUCAUUAAGGUGGUUAAAUCUCCAUAAAAGCUUGAAGAAGCCUCAAGAGAAAGAACUAACUAGAGUAAGGAAAAAGAGAGGAGAAUUCCCUAAGGAGGGAUAAAAUACAUUGAUCUAGGGAGGAAAACCAAAGGCGAAGGCAACUCUCCUUCCUUUACUGACACUGAGAUGAGAAAGUCUGGGGAGCAAAUGGG
rnacentral:rRNA from 1 species